AACGAACGCUGGCGGCAUGCCUAACACAUGCAAGUCGAACGAAGGCUUCGGCCUUAGUGGCGCACGGGUGCGUAACGCGUGGGAAUCUGCCCUUUGGUUCGGAAUAACAGCUGGAAACGGCUGCUAAUACCGGAUGAUGACGAAAGUCCAAAGAUUUAUCGCCAGAGGAUGAGCCCGCGUUGGAUUAGGUAGUUGGUGGGGUAAAGGCCUACCAAGCCGACGAUCCAUAGCUGGUCUGAGAGGAUGAUCAGUCACACUGGGACUGAGACACGGCCCAGACUCCUACGGGAGGCAGCAGUGGGGAAUAUUGGACAAUGGGCGCAAGCCUGAUCCAGCAAUGCCGCGUGAGUGAUGAAGGCCCUAGGGUUGUAAAGCUCUUUUACCCGGGAAGAUAAUGACUGUACCGGGAGAAUAAGCCCCGGCUAACUCCGUG
rnacentral:rRNA from 1 species